rnacentral:other from 3 species
CGCGUGCUGCCCGGUUCGUGUAGGAUACUGCAUCCCCGGGGCCUUAUCGAUCCUAAAGGGAGCUGUCCCUGACCAGGCCCGUGGGCUUGGACAAACGGCGCCCACCUACUAACGUAGGUUCCCGGGAUCGACACAUCCCACGGCCAGGGCGGCACAAGA